rnacentral:rRNA from 1 species
AUACGGAGGAUCCGAGCGUUAUCCGGAUUUAUUGGGUUUAAAGGGUGCGCAGGCGGCCAUUUAAGUCAGCGGUUAAAUCGUGGGGCUCAACCCCAUUCUGCCGUUGAUACUGGGUGGCUUGAUUGCGGUCGAGGUUGGCGGAAUUCGUUGUGUAGCGGUGAAAUGCAUAGAUAUGCCGAAGAACACCGAUUGCGUAGGCAGCUGACCAGACCGCAAAUGACGCUCAUGCACGAAAGUGCGGGGAUCGAACAGGAUUAGAUACCCUGGUAGUCCGCACAGUAAACGAUGAAUACUUGUUUUCGGCGAUAUAAUGUCGGAGGCAAAGCGAAAGCGAUAAGUAUUCCACCUGGGGAGUACGCCGGCAACGGUGAAACUCAAAUGAAUUGACGGGG